rnacentral:rRNA from 1 species
GAGUGAAGAGGGACAAGCUCAAAUUUUAAAUCUAUCGGGUUUUACCCGAUCGAGUUGUAAUUUGAAGAAGCGUUUUCGGCGUUUUUGGUCAGCCCAAGUCCUAUUGAAUGAGGCAUCAUGGAGGGUGAUAAUCCCGUCCGGUUGAUCAUUUGCGUUUUACGAUACGCUUUCUAAGAGUCAAGUUGUUUGGGAUUGCAGCUUAAAAUGGGAGGUAAAUUUCUCCUAAGGCUAAAUAACGGCGAGAGACCGAUAGCGAACAAGUACCGUGAGGGAAAGAUGAAAAGAACUUUGAAAAGAGAGUUAAACAGUACGUGAAAUUGUUGAAAGGGAAACGAUUGAAGCCAGUCGUACCUUCGGGUAAUCAGCCUUUCGGGUGCGAUUCUGUGGAGUGUGAGGAGCUUAACACCCUCAUGCUUUGCAUAUUUGUGCUCUUGGGUGUACUUGCCCGUGUGGUUGGUUAACAUCAAUUUUGGUUAUCAUAAAAUGAUUGGAGGAAUGUAGCUUCGAUCUCGUAUUGAAGUGUUAUAGCCUUCGGUAGAUGUGAUGAUCGAGAUUGAGGAUUGCAACGGAUACCCUUCGGGGCUACCUGUCUGGUCUCUGAUCGUUGCUCUGGUGCCGAAAGCUUGCUUACGGUUAUUUAAGAUGACGGUCAAAAGGUUAGAACGUGAUUACAUUCGUUA